GGGAUAGCUCAGUUGGUAGAGCAGGGGACUGAAAAUCCUCGUGU
rnacentral:tRNA from 1 species